ensembl:lncRNA
CUCUCGGGGUUUCCCCUGGGCCGCGCCCCCUCCUCCUCCUGGUUGAUCUUCUCCCAGUCCGAGAAGGACACCGGCUUCACGCCUGCAACCAAUCACACAGGAGAGAUUAGAUCAUGUGACCUGGAGGUUCAAGCCCGCCAUCUUGGCCUACCUUCAAGACGGUGGACUUCUACAGGAAGCACCAGGACUCCAUGACCCCAGCCGGUCUGGGCUUCUUCCAGAGCCAGUGGGACGAGUCGGUCACCAACACCUUCCACAACACGCUUGACAUGAAGGAGCCGGUGUUUGAGUUCGUGCGGCCCCCCCGUGUACCACCCGCCGCGGGUCAAGUUCCCCCACAGGCAGCCGCUCCGCUACCUGGACCGCUACCGUGAGGGCAAGGAGCACACCUACGGCAUCUACUGAGCCCCACAGACGCACACAUCUGGAGCUACCGCUGGACGACAUGUUAAUAUAAUAAAUUGUUUUUUUUGUAUUGACUGCGUCUUAUUUUGGUCUGCAUUACAACACAGUCCAUGGUUUCAUGCCAUCUUAUUCUUGUGGUAAACUGUGUUAAUUUCUCCAUUGCGAUGGUUCUCCACGUUAUGAAAGAGUCUUCAGAAAUAGAAGGUAACUUUGGGGUUCAGGUCCGGGCGGUCUU